UUAAAUCAGCUAACGGUCCGUUCUGUGGUGUGCAAUCCUCUGUUGUAUAUGUGACCUGGUAACUUGUAUUAGUUGCAGGUGAAGCAGGGCGUGAAGUCAUCCCACAUAAGACACCAUAACCUUAUCAGUAUACUGACUGGGUUAAUCUCUGUAUGAAUCAUUCGUUUUAACUGCCCUUAUAUAUUUCAACGUUUAACUAAAUGGCGUUCUGUUGUUAAUAUCAUCUGGUUGAUUUAUAUUUGCUUUCGUCCGAUGUAUCCAAGAGAACCAGAAAAUAUAAUUGUCUGAGAGAUUCAUAGUUUCAUAAAUUAGACGGUCCGUUGAUUUCCGUGGUGUGUUAGAUAUAUAUUCAGUGUAUCCAAAAUCUACUUUCGUUGCUAUGCCAAUUGUCCUCCGAAAAUACUACAUUGGAGCACUUCAGUCAAUAGGACUCUCAAUGUCAAUUGUUGUGGUACCUUUAACACAAGUAUGACUUGAUAUACAUUAUGAUUCAACACAGUUAGCUCUAUUUUAAGACAAAUAAGACAAACAUAUUCCUGUGGGAUGUUUUUGACGGAAGUUCUUGACGUCAUUAUACGCAAUCUGAUUGGUUGAUCGGGUGUUUUUGCACACUACCUUUAUCAGUAAGGGGCGAACCUUCUUGCGGGUAACAGAAAGGGGCGAGUAUUGAAGAGUGAAUGUAUGUUAAUUCAGUCCAUG